rnacentral:lncRNA from 1 species
UGAGCAUCUUUUUUGUUUNNCCAAAAGUGGNAAAAAAUUAAUGCAUCAUUCUCUCUCCUUUCUACACACCAUUUUCGUUUCCUUCACCAACACACACCUUCAUAAUCUUUCUUCCUCUCCUCAAUACCAAGAAUGAGCACCCAAGAGACCCCAUUUGAAGUUGCAACUCCAUUCAAGACAAUAAGCCCACACUACUACUACUUCAACUCAACCCAAUCUUCCAUUUUUUCAAGCUCUUGUGCAAAAAACGAAANUAACAUUAUACCAUUCAACUCAACCACUGUCCAGCCCCAAUAACAUCAUCAAAGUCUGGUUCCAAACUAGUUUCAAACAUCAAAACCAAAAUAUGAAGGAAAAGAGCCAAACCCACAACACCCACACAUCAAGUUAAGCUUUAUUCAACCCAAAACUCAUAUAGAAUUCCAUUCUCAUCAAGCAACCAAAUAAAAUGCAAAGAAAAACGUGAGGAACAGCAGCAAUGGAAGAGGAAACGAAAACCUAAAGUCACUCAAACCCAACAACCACCAUAGAAAAGCAAAGACAAGCUUAAAAACUCAAGCUUCAAACAUCAAAAACAAGCAAAUGGAAGGAGGAAUGAAUGGAUUUUCACCACCAAUGAGUUAAGACAACCAAGAGUGAGUCAAGGGAAGAAGAAAAUCUUCAUAAUAUUCAUUGAAAAUGGUCCAAAACCGUGCACCAAGCAAGCACCCAUGAGAGCAUGUCCAAAACAAGAGAAAC